UGACUGGGACAAACGUGAGAUUUAGGUUGCAAAUUUUACAAACAUGAGAACACCUGCCGAUCUUAUGGUGGGCAUUCCAGGGCCCUCGUGGAUUGUUUCUGGUUUGAGUAGGCAAAAUCAUGAAUGCCGAGAUACAAAUGCAAUUUGGUAAAGCCAUAGCAUCUGGUCUUUAACACCUAUUGAUCGAAUCCAUGUAGCCAUGCCACUGGACU
rnacentral:lncRNA from 1 species